GCACAAAGUAGACACUGAAACGGCCUGUAUGAUCCCCCCCCGGUGUUGAAUCUGUGGAGGAACAGGUAGAAGGGCCCCCACAGAGCAUCAGUCCCUUUAAUAAGGGGUUUGUUUUCCGGUUCUGUUCCGCGGGGCUUUCCUGAUUCGGGCGGGGACCCCGGGGGGACACUACAAACUCCCGCGUAACUUUGCAGUCGGAGUAAACCUAAUUAAUAAAUUAAAACUUUUAACAACGGAUCUCUUGGUUCUGGCAUCGAUGAAGAACGCAGCGAAAUGCGAUAAGUAAUGUGAAUUGCAGAAUUCAGUGAAUCAUCGAAUCUUUGAACGCACAUUGCGCCCCUGGUAUUCCGGGGGGCAUGCCUGUUCGAGCGUCAUUUCACCACUCAAGCCUCGCUUGGUAUUGGCACGGUCCGCCGCGUGCCUCAAAUCGACCGGCUGGGUCUUCUGUCCCCUAAGCGUUGUGGAAACUAUUCGCUAAAGGGUGCUCGGGCUACGCCGUAAAACAACCCCAUUCCUAAGGUGGACCUCGGAUCAGGUAGGAACCCGCGACUA
rnacentral:rRNA from 1 species